UCAAGCUACAAAGGGCGCAUGGUGAAUGCCUUGGCAUCAGGAGCCGAUGAAGGACGUGAUAAGCUGCGAUAAGCUUCGGGUAGGCGCACAUAGCCUGAGAUCCGAAGAUCUCCGAAUGAGGAAACUCACAUGGGAAACCCCAUGUAUCAUUAAGUGAAUACAUAGCUUAAUGAAGGUAACCCAGGGAACUGAAACAUCUAAGUACCUGGAGGAAGAGAAAGAAAAAUCGAUUUUCUUAGUAGCGGCGAGCGAAAGGGAAAGAGCCCAAACCGGAAACUUGUUUCCGGGGUUGUGGACAUAACAUAAAAGUGGAGGCUAUUGUAACUGAAGAGAACUGGAAAGUUCCACCGUAGAAGGUAAUAGUCCUGUAAGUGAAACGAGAAGACCACGAGUUAUGAUCCAGAGUACCACGAGACACGUGAAACCUUGUGGGAAGCAGGGAGGACCACCUCCCAAGGCUAAAUACUACCUGAUGACCGAUAGUGAAGCAGUACCGUGAGGGAAAGGUGAAAAGAACCCCGGGAGGGGAGUGAAAUAGAACCUGAAACCGUGUGCCUACAACCGCUCAGAGCCCCUUAUGAGGGUGAUGAGGUGCUUUUUGUAGAACGAGCCAACGAGUUACGGUAUGUAGCAAGGUUAAGUACUUAAGGUACGGAGCCGAAGGGAAACCGAGUCUGAAUAGGGCGACUAGUUGCAUGCCGUAGACCCGAAACCGGGUGACCUAUCCAUGGCCAGGUUGAAGCGAGGGUAAAACCUCGUGGAGGACCGAACCACGUUGCUGUUGAAAAAGCAUGGGAUGAGCUGUGGAUAGCGGAGAAAUUCCAAUCGAACCCGGAGAUAGCUGGUUCUCUCCGAAAUAGCUUUAGGGCUAGCGUCGAGUAUGAGUAGUGGAGGUAGAGCACUGAAUGGGCUAGGGGGCAUAGCGCUUACCGAACCUUAUCAAACUCCGAAUGCCACAUACUUUGAGCUCGGCAGUCAGACUACGAAUGAUAAGAUCCGUGGUCAAAAGGGAAACAGCCCAGAUCGUCAGCUAAGGUCCCAAAGUGUAAGUUAAGUGGGAAAGGAUGUGAGAUUUCUAAGACAACUAGGAUGUUGGCUUAGAAGCAGCCAUUCAUUAAAAGAGUGCGUAAUAGCUCACUAGUCGAGAGAUCUUGCGCCGAAAAUGUAACGGGGCUAAACUUACCACCGAAGCUACGGGCUUGAACUUAGUUCAAGCGGUAGGAGAGCGUCGUAACCGGGCUGAAGUCGUACCGUAAGGAGCGGUGGACUGGUUACGAGUGAGAAUGUUGGCAUCAGUAGCGAGAUGUGGGUGAGAAUCCCACAGGCCGAAAACCUAAGGUUUCCUCAGGAAGGUUCGUCCGCUGAGGGUUAGUCGGGACCUAAGCCGAGGCCGAAAGGCGUAGGUGAUGGACAACUGGUUGAUAUUCCAGUACCACUACCAUCGUUAUUAUCGAUGGCGUGACGCAGGAGGAUAGUGUGUGCUAGCUAUUGGAUGCUAGUCUAAGCGUUUAGGCAGUGAGAGUAGGCAAAUCCGCUCUCAUAAUGCUGAGGCGUGAUGGGGAAGGUUCCACGGAACCGAAGUACAUGAUUCCACGCUGCCAAGAAAAGCGUCUAGAGAGAGAAGUAGUGCCCGUACCGCAAACCGACACAGGUAGGUGAGGAGAGAAUCCUAAGGCCGGCGGAAGAAUUACAGUUAAGGAACUCGGCAAAUUGACCCCGUAAGUUCGCGAGAAGGGGUGCCUACGAGAGUAGGCCGCAGAGAAUAGGCCCAAGCAACUGUUUAGCAAAAACACAGGUCUCUGCUAAAGCGUAAGCUGAUGUAUAGGGGCUGACGCCUGCCCGGUGCUGGAAGGUUAAGGGGAACACUUAGCGCAAGCGAAGGUGUGAACUUAAGCCCCAGUAAACGGCGGCCGUAACUAUAACGGUCCUAAGGUAGCGAAAUUCCUUGUCAGGUAAGUUCUGACCCGCACGAAUGGCGUAAUGACUUGGGCACUGUCUCAACUGUAAAUCCGGCGAAGUUGUAGUGCGAGUGAAGAUGCUCGCUACCCGCGAUUGGACGGAAAGACCCCGUAGAGCUUUACUGUAGCUUAGCAUUGAGUUUUGGUAUUGUCUGUACAGGAUAGGUGGGAGACUAGGAAACCAGGGCGUCAGCCUUGGUGGAGUCAACCUUGGGAUACCACCCUGACAGUACUGAAAUUCUAACUGGCGGCCAUGAAUCUGGUCACAGGACAUUGUUAGGUGGGCAGUUUGACUGGGGCGGUCGCCUCCUAAAAAGUAACGGAGGCGCCCAAAGGUUCCCUCAGAACGGUCGGAAAUCGUUCGAAGAGUGCAAAGGCAGAAGGGAGCCUGACUGCGACACCCACAAGUGGAGCAGGGACGAAAGUCGGGCUUAGUGAUCCGGUGGUACCUCGUGGGAGGGCCAUCGCUCAACGGAUAAAAGCUACCUCGGGGAUAACAGGCUGAUCUCCCCCAAGAGUCCACAUCGACGGGGAGGUUUGGCACCUCGAUGUCGGCUCGUCGCAUCCUGGGGCUGAAGUAGGUCCCAAGGGUUGGGCUGUUCGCCCAUUAAAGCGGCACGCGAGCUGGGUUCAGAACGUCGUGAGACAGUUCGGUCCCUAUCCGUCGCGGGCGUAGGAAAUUUGAGAGGAGCUGUCCUUAGUACGAGAGGACCGGGAUGGACUGACCUCUGGUGUACCAGUUGUUCCGCCAGGAGCACAGCUGGGUAGCUAAGUCGGGAAUGGAUAAACGCUGAAAGCAUCUAAGCGUGAAGCCAACCUCAAGAUGAGAUUUCCCAUAGCGUAAGCUAGUAAGAUCCCUUGAAGAACACAAGGUUGAUAGGUCGGGGGUGUAAGCAUGGUAACAUGUUCAGCUGACCGAUACUAAUAGAUCGAGGGCUUGACCAA
rnacentral:rRNA from 1 species